rnacentral:rRNA from 1 species
UGGGGAAUAUUGGACAAUGGGCGCAAGCCUGAUCCAGCCAUGCCGCGUGUGUGAAGAAGGCCUUUUGGUUGUAAAGCACUUUAAGCGAGGAGGAGGCUACUUGGAUUAAUACUCUAGGAUAGUGGACGUUACUCGCAGAAUAAGCACCGGCUAACUCUGUGCCAGCAGCCGCGGUAAUACAGAGGGUGCGAGCGUUAAUCGGAUUUACUGGGCGUAAAGCGUGCGUAGGCGGCUUCUUAAGUCGGAUGUGAAAUCCCUGAGCUUAACUUAGGAAUUGCAUUCGAUACUGGGAAGCUAGAGUAUGGGAGAUGAUGGUAGAAUUCCAGGUGGAGCGGUGAAAUGCGUACAGAUCUGGAGGAAGACCGAUGGCGAAGGCAGCCAUCUGGCCUAAUACUGACGCUGAGGUACGAAAGCAUGGGGAGCAAACAGG